rnacentral:rRNA from 1 species
GAAAUUUAACGGAUUUGGCGGCAAGAUAGCCCCUUAGAGGAACCUGCCCUGUAAACGAUGAACCACGAAGAAACAUUACUUUUUUUUGAGAUCAGUUUGUAUAUCGCUGUUGUCAGUUAGAUUCUAGAGAAUAUUUUCAUUCAUGAUAAAGUCAUUGACUUCAAGUAAAGGUGCAGCUUAUAGAAAAGAAAGAGGUGGGUUACAUUUAAAAGAAUAAACGGAUAAGGUGAAUGAAAAAACCUUUGAAGGUGGAUUUAACUGUAAAACUUAAGAAAGUUUGGUGGGAGCUCUAUCUUGUGUACACACCGCCCGUC